rnacentral:rRNA from 1 species
UAGGGAAUCUUCGGCAAUGGACUAAAGUCUGACCGAGCAACGCCGCGUGAGUGAAGAAGGUUUUCGGAUCGUAAAACUCUGUUGUUAGAGAAGAACAAGGACGUUAGUAACUGAACGUCCCCUGACGGUAUCUAACCAGAAAGCCACGGCUAACUACGUGCCAGCAGCCGCGGUAAUACGUAGGUGGCAAGCGUUGUCCGGAUUUAUUGGGCGUAAAGCGAGCGCAGGCGGUUUCUUAAGUCUGAUGUGAAAGCCCCCGGCUCAACCGGGGAGGGUCAUUGGAAACUGGGAGACUUGAGUGCAGAAGAGGGGAGUGGAAUUCCAUGUGUAGCGGUGAAAUGCGUAGAUAUAUGGAGGAACACCAGUGGCGAAGGCGGAUCUCUGGUCUGUAACUGACGCUGAGGCUCGAAAGCGUGGGGAGCAAACAGG